rnacentral:rRNA from 1 species
UACGGGAGGCAGCAGUGGGGAAUCUUGGACAAUGGGGGCAACCCUGAUCCAGCCAUGCCGCGUGAUCGAUGAAGGCCUUAGGGUUGUAAAGAUCUUUCAGCUGGGAAGAUAAUGACGGUACCAGCAGGAGAAGCCCCGGCUAACUCCGUGCCAGCAGCCGCGGUAAU